CAGUCGAGCGGAUGAGAGGAGCUUGCUCCUGGAUUCAGCGGCGGACGGGUGAGUAAUGCCUAGGAAUCUGCCUGGUAGUGGGGGACAACGUUUCGAAAGGAACGCUAAUACCGCAUACGUCCUACGGGAGAAAGCAGGGGACCUUCGGGCCUUGCGCUAUCAGAUGAGCCUAGGUCGGAUUAGCUAGUUGGUGAGGUAAUGGCUCACCAAGGCGACGAUCCGUAACUGGUCUGAGAGGAUGAUCAGUCACACUGGAACUGAGACACGGUCCAGACUCCUACGGGAGGCAGCAGUGGGGAAUAUUGGACAAUGGGCGAAAGCCUGAUCCAGCCAUGCCGCGUGUGUGAAGAAGGUCUUCGGAUUGUAAAGCACUUUAAGUUGGGAGGAAGGGUUGUAGAUUAAUACUCUGCAAUUUUGACGUUACCGACAGAAUAAGCACCGGCUAACUCUGUGCCAGCAGCCGCGGUAAUACAGAGGGUGCAAGCGUUAAUCGGAAUUACUGGGCGUAAAGCGCGCGUAGGUGGUUCGUUAAGUUGGAUGUGAAAUCCCCGGGCUCAACCUGGGAACUGCAUUCAAAACUGUCNAGCUANAGUAUGGU
rnacentral:rRNA from 1 species